rnacentral:pre_miRNA from 3 species
CCCAGGUGCUCUGACGAGGUUGCACUACUGUGCUCUGAGAAGCAGUGCAAUGAUAUUGUCAAAGCAUCGGGGACCA